UGGGGAAUUUUGGACAAUGGGCGAAAGCCUGAUCCAGCAAUGCCGCGUGUGUGAAGAAGGCCUUCGGGUUGUAAAGCACUUUUGUCCGGAAAGAAAUCCUUGGCUCUAAUACAGUCGGGGGAUGACGGUACCGGAAGAAUAAGCACCGGCUAACUACGUGCCAGCAGCCGCGGUAAUACGUAGGGUGCAAGCGUUAAUCGGAAUUACUGGGCGUAAAGCGUGCGCAGGCGGUUUGCUAAGACCGAUGUGAAAUCCCCGGGCUCAACCUGGGAACUGCAUUGGUGACUGGCAGGCUAGAGUAUGGCAGAGGGGGGUAGAAUUCCACGUGUAGCAGUGAAAUGCGUAGAGAUGUGGAGGAAUACCGAUGGCGAAGGCAGCCCCCUGGGCCAAUACUGACGCUCAUGCACGAAAGCGUGGGGAGCAAACAGGAUUAGAUACCCUGGUAGUCCACGCCCUAAACGAUGUCAACUAGUUGUUGGGGAUUCAUUUCCUUAGUAACGUAGCUAACGCGUGAAGUUGACCGCCUGGGGAGUACGGUCGCAAGAUUAAAACUUAAAUUGAAUUGACGGGGUCAUAGCUGUUUCCU
rnacentral:rRNA from 1 species